CUUGACAUCCAGCGAAUUCGGUAGAGAUACCUUAGUGCCUUCGGGAACGCUGAGACAGGUGCUGCAUGGCUGUCGUCAGCUCGUGUUGUGAAAUGUUGGGUUAAGUCCCGCAACGAGCGCAACCCUUAUCCUUUGUUGCCAGCGGUCCGGCCGGGAACUCAAAGGAGACUGCCAGUGAUAAACUGGAGGAAGGUGGGGAUGACGUCAAGUCAUCAUGGCCCUUACGAGUAGGGCUACACACGUGCUACAAUGGCGCAUACAAAGAGAAGCGACCUCGCGAGAGCAAGCGGACCUCAUAAAGUGCGUCGUAGUCCGGAUUGGAGUCUGCAACUCGACUCCAUGAAGUCGGAAUCGCUAGUAAUCGUAGAUCAGAAUGCUACGGUGAAUACGUUCCCGGGCCUUGUACACACCGCCCGUCACACCAUGGGAGUGGGUUGCAAAAGAAGUAGGUAGCUUAACCUUCGGGAGGGCGCUUACCACUUUGUGAUUCAUGACUGGGGUGAAGUCGUAACAAGGUAAGCGUACGUGU
rnacentral:rRNA from 1 species